CUGAACAUUUAUUAACUCCUGAAAUUUUUGCAUUGUCUCAGUGAAUCCUUCCAACUACCCUGAAAGGUGUGUAUCAUUUUUUCAAAUGAGGGAGCAACUUCGGAGAGGCUGGGUGACCUCCCCAACAACACACAGCUAUCCAGGGCCAAGAUGGAGUCCAAGUUCACUGCAUUCUGGUUUUCUUAAAGAUGAAACUACAGCCUCAAGCAGAGGAAGGGAUCCUGGAUAGAGGGAGGUGAACCCUGCCCCAAAAAUGCUUGAGCUACCAUGGCCCAUGGAGAAUGGGAGGGAAGAAAGGAAGGGGUCCUCAGAGGGCUUGGGAAGGGCUACCCAGGUCCAGGCUGGGGGGCAUCCCCAGAACCCAGGGCUGCUAAGAGCAUCUCACCUCAAACACCUGGGCCUGGUUUUUUCUUCUAGUUUUCCAAGGGCCCAAGGAGUCAUCUGUACUCUUAGAGUUUUCUCGGAGGGCCUGGGGGAGUGGGAGGGAAGGAACAGGUUCUUGGUAAUGCCUCCAGCCAGCCCUCUAGAAGGCCUUGACUUCUGUCAGUCAUGUUCAAGGUGCCUCUUGUAGCUCAGCUGAGGGUUUCAUCCAGCAGAACAUUACCUAUCAGGUUUCAGCUGCCCACAGCCCCUACAUCACGACUCCCUCAGCAUUAACCUUUCCUUAGCCUCUCAAGGGAAAAGCAAGACACCCGCACCAUGUCCUUGUCUCUCCUGCCAUGUUCAGCUACGGGCAGUGUGGAACAAUGGAAAGAUGCAACCAUACAGGACUGUCUAUCACCACCUGGCUGGCCACCUCGGGCUGUGUCUCAGGUUCCCCUUCAGGCUCAGAUGGUAUGGGUGCCACCAUCCUGAUGCCCUGAGAAGGCAUGCGUUCUGUUUUACAGCCCCCCCCGCCCCAAUGAUACUUUUGUAAGACAAUCUGGUCGAGUAUUUAUUCCUUCAACAAAUAUUUAUUGAGCACCUACUAUGUGUCAGCUACUAUUCUUGGUGGGAAUACAGUGGGGUGAAAGACAGCAAAGCCUCUGUUGUCAUGGAAUUUAUGUUCUGUUUGUGGGGUACAGUUCACAAACAGGCAAGGACAUAAGCAAGACCAUCUAA
rnacentral:lncRNA from 1 species